rnacentral:rRNA from 1 species
GACGUAGGGCGCGAGCGUUGUCCGGAAUUACUGGGCGUAAAGCGCACGUAGGCGGCUUUGUAAGUUUAGAGGUGAAAGCCCGGAGCUCAACUCCGGAAUUGCCUUUAAGACUGCAUCGCUUGAAUCAUGGAGAGGUGAGUGGAAUUCCGAGUGUAGAGGUGAAAUUCGUAGAUAUUCGGAAGAACACCAGUGGCGAAGGCGACUCACUGGACAUGUAUUGACGCUGAGGUGCGAAAAGCGUGGGGGAGCAAACAGG